UAUGUUGGUGAUUUGAUCAAAGGUGGGCGAAUGAUUUAGGGCCCGACACCUCCUUGACCGAAGAAAACUAAAACAAAGAGAGGUUAAUCGAGCAGCGAAGUAGAUCGAAGAGAAAAGAAAGAGUUCGAGGGUUUUGUUUCAGAGGAAGGAAGGGACUUUGCAACUAUGAACUGUCAAGCCAGGCCAACCAGAACUGUUCUAGUAGAUAAACGUUGUUUAAGCACUGGUUCUUGAGAGCGCUUCUGGCUUCCGGUCAUUCUAUUUUUCAUCCAUGAAAAGAAAAAUAACAAGCUCAGCAUUUAUGGAGAAACCCUGCUGGAAUCAAGAAGAGGUUUGCGAAAAUGGCUGCAAAACCAGGAUCCUUUUCUUCAUGCAUUAAGUGCAGAAUUACGUCCUCACUCUGCCCAUGAGCCAAUGAUUCAACAGCUUCUAAAGCAGCCAUGGCAAGUCCUUCAUAAUAUGACAAGUGUCUCCACUAGUGACUUGCCAUUGAUAUCUAAUAUGUUCUUCAGCCCACAUGGCCAUGAGAGUAUUGGAUCCCAUGCAUUUCUACUAAGGAAUUAUCCCUUCUUAUGAAACUGGCAUGUUUCUUGUUUAUCAUUAGAUCCAGUAUCCUGCAGAUUGCCUUAAGCAUUUUAAUGUGGUCAAUAUAUCACAAGUGUUCAAACUACAAUGGCCAGCUGAUCUAAAAUGAUUUGCAAUCUAUUCACUCCA